AGAGCCGCACUGACACCACUGUCCCCAGCAAGCCCUCCCGUGGCUCCAUGCCUCCUGCCGGCUGCCCUCCUCUCAGAACGCCACCCCAAGACUCACAUCCUAGCCCCUGAAUCCACCAGGGCUGGGGAACCAUGAGGAAUGUCACAGGGCAGGUCCCAUCCUCCCGGGCCUCAGUUUCCCCUUUUGUAUAAAGGUCUUCAAGUCCUGGCAUCCAGAUGCUGUCCAUCCGAGACCUCACAGGUCCCUGCUGACCUCAGGGGCUCCUUGGAAGACCCUGGGUCUGGGGGUCUGAUGGGGAAGGGGUGAGCCCUGUGGGUCUUGGGACAGCUGGAGUUGGGCCUGUGGCCACCAUGAGGCCCACACCACCCAGCUGCUGCUGCCUGGCCUGCAGGGGUUAAUGGGUCUGGCCCCCCCAGGGACCAGCUGUCAGAGCUGUCGCCAAGCAGAACCAGCAGACGCAGUCCCAGGGGCCGAACAGCAAGGACGCAGCAGGGGACCCUGGCAGCAGUGGGUGCGGGAGGUGCUGCUUCACCACCUGAGAGGGGCUCUGCACCCACAGCAGGCCCCUGCCAUGACUUGGUCCCAGGCUGGGUCAGACAGCGCGGUCAGGACGCACCCCUCGGGCCAGGCCAGGCAGGGCCGACCCUUUGCUCCCUGCUCUGACGGUGCAGAAUGAGAAGAGGCAGGAGUCUCCGGGGCAUGUGCGCACAUGGCCCCGCCCACGCCGUCUAGCCUGCAGGUUGGCCUUUGUGCACAGGUCACUCUGCCUGGAAAGUGGUGGCAGGGGUGGUGGCACGGCUCCCUGUAACCCUCUGCCUGAGUGAGCGCCUGCUGCCCAGGGCCGCCUCAGCCAGGCACCCCCCGGGGCUGCAGUGGCCACCUCAAAGUUCCC
rnacentral:lncRNA from 10 species